GAUGAACGCUGGCGGCGUGCCUAAUACAUGCAAGUCGAGCGAACGGACGAGAAGCUUGCUUCUCUGAUGUUAGCGGCGGACGGGUGAGUAACACGUGGAUAACCUACCUAUAAGACUGGGAUAACUUCGGGAAACCGGAGCUAAUACCGGAUAAUAUUUUGAACCGCAUGGUUCAAAAGUGAAAGACGGUCUUGCUGUCACUUAUAGAUGGAUCCGCGCUGCAUUAGCUAGUUGGUAAGGUAACGGCUUACCAAGGCAACGAUGCAUAGCCGACCUGAGAGGGUGAUCGGCCACACUGGAACUGAGACACGGUCCAGACUCCUACGGGAGGCAGCAGUAGGGAAUCUUCCGCAAUGGGCGAAAGCCUGACGGGGCAACGCCGCGUGAGUGAUGAAGGUCUUCGGAUCGUAAAACUCUGUUAUUAGGGAAGAACAUAUGUGUAAGUAACUGUGCACAUCUUGACGGUACCUAAUCAGAAAGCCACGGCUAACUACGUGCCAGCAGCCGCGGUAAUACGUAGGUGGCAAGCGUUAUCCGGAAUUAUUGGGCGUAAAGCGCGCGUAGGCGGUUUUUUAAGUCUGAUGUGAAAGCCCACGGCUCAACCGUGGAGGGUCAUUGGAAACUGGAAAACUUGAGUGCAGAAGAGGAAAGUGGAAUUCCAUGUGUAGCGGUGAAAUGCGCAGAGAUAUGGAGGAACACCAGUGGCGAAGGCGACUUUCUGGUCUGUAACUGACGCUGAUGUGCGAAAGCGUGGGGAUCAAACAGGAUUAGAUACCCUGGUAGUCCACGCCGUAAACGAUGAGUGCUAAGUGUUAGGGGGUUUCCUCCCCUUAGUGCUGCAGCUAACGCAUUAAGCACUCCGCCUGGGGAGUACGACCGCAAGGUUGAAACUCAAAGGAAUUGACGGGGACCCGCACAAGCGGUGGAGCAUGUGGUUUAAUUCGAAGCAACGCGAAGAACCUUACCAAAUCUUGACAUCCUUUGACAACUCUAGAGAUAGAGCCUUCCCCUUCGGGGGACAAAGUGACAGGUGGUGCAUGGUUGUCGUCAGCUCGUGUCGUGAGAUGUUGGGUUAAGUCCCGCAACGAGCGCAACCCUUAAGCUUAGUUGCCAUCAUUAAGUUGGGCACUCUAAGUUGACUGCCGGUGACAAACCGGAGGAAGGUGGGGAUGACGUCAAAUCAUCAUGCCCCUUAUGAUUUGGGCUACACACGUGCUACAAUGGACAAUACAAAGGGCAGCGAAACCGCGAGGUCAAGCAAAUCCCAUAAAGUUGUUCUCAGUUCGGAUUGUAGUCUGCAACUCGACUACAUGAAGCUGGAAUCGCUAGUAAUCGUAGAUCAGCAUGCUACGGUGAAUACGUUCCCGGGUCU
rnacentral:rRNA from 1 species